GGUGAAUAUGAUGAAUUUUGGGGCGCUGAUUCGUGUGACUUGAAACAUGCCAUCCAUUUCCUGAUUCACC